rnacentral:rRNA from 1 species
AUUGAACGCUGGCGGCACGCCUAACACAUGCAAGUCGAACGAGUGGCGGACGGGUGAGUAAUGUCUGGGAAACUGCCCGAUGGAGGGGGAUAACUACUGGAAACGGUAGCUAAUACCGCAUACCAUCGGAUGUUCCCAGAUGGGAUUAGCUAGUAGGUGGGGUAAAGGCUCACCUAGGCGACGAUCCCUAGCUGGUCUGAGAGGAUGACCAGCCACACUGGAACUGAGACACGGUCCAGACUCAUACGCGAGACAGCAGUGGGGAAUAUUGCACAAUGGGCGCAAGCCUGAUACAGCCAUGCCGCGUGUAUGAAGAGGGCCUUCGGGUUGUAAAGUACUUUCAGCGAGGAGGCGUUACCCGGAGAAGAAGCGCCGGCUAACUCCGUGCCGGCCGCCGCGGUAAUAC